rnacentral:rRNA from 1 species
GACGAACGCUGGCGGCGUGCUUAACACAUGCAAGUCGAACGGAAAGGCCCUGCUUUUGUGGGGUGCUCGAGUGGCGAACGGGUGAGUAACACGUGAGUAACCUGCCCUUGACUUUGGGAUAACUUCAGGAAACUGGGGCUAAUACCGGAUAGGAGCUCCUGCUGCAUGGUGGGGGUUGGAAAGUUUCGGCGGUUGGGGAUGGACUCGCGGCUUAUCAGCUUGUUGGUGGGGUAGUGGCUUACCAAGGCUUUGACGGGUAGCCGGCCUGAGAGGGUGACCGGCCACAUUGGGACUGACAUACCGCCCACACUACUACGGGCGGCAGCAGUCUGGAAUUUUACACAAUGGCCGGAAGCACGAACCAGCAACGCCGAGUGCGGGAUGACGGACUUCAGCUCGUAAACCGCUUUCGCCUGUGACGAAGCUAGAGUGACGGUAAUAAGUAAACCAGCCCCGCCUAACUUCGUU